ensembl:lncRNA
GAGCAGGGUUGGUAUUGUGACAUUAAAAAAAUCAAUAAUUGAUAAAAGAAAUUUAAUUUGUAGUUCUAAAUAAACUCUAAAUGCAUUUAGGACGUUUUUUACUCACUUUAUGUCUCUUCCACGAUGUUAUUUCUCUCUCCAACAACAUAGGUUACAAUUAUAUUAGCAUGACCAAUUAUGCAAAUUAGGUGAUGACGUCAUUUAGCGACUUCUAGCGACUUUUAGGACAACCAAUAGCGAUUUUCCUUACUGAGGAGUUGGCAACACUGCGUGGGAUGUAAGGAGCUCUCUGAUUGCUUGGUCAGACACAGGCUGUCUGCCAGCCUGGAUUUUUCUAGCUCAUAGCUUCGCCCUGCUAAGAAGCGUGUGUGCUUGUACAAAGGCCGUUCAGCCUCGCGAUUUACACUCGGCUCGACACGGAUAUGUGAAGAAUGAAGGGAGCCUGCAGCGAAACGGAGAGCCCAACCUCUGACUGAGUGCCCGUUUACUCAGUCUGACCACCUGUUGAAGGGCUGUUUGAUGACGAUUUGGACUCCUCUGGGAGAUGAGGACACACCCACAUCUGUUCCAUACUGCAGCCAUGGAUGGUGUUACAGCUCUGAGUCAGCUUUGGGCCAUCAGACGCACACACUGGAAAACCAGCACCUGUACUUCAUGCAGGAGAGAUGACCUCAGUGAUAAUUCAUCAGCAGCUGUGAAGAGAUGUAUUUGAAUAUCUUCUGGUUCCACUUUUCUUAACCUGGAAGCUGAGGAUGGCUGAUUCCUGACAAGGACACACACCUCAGCGCUUAUCAUGGGUGUUACAUCCUCUGUGCCGCAAUUCCAGAGAAAACGAGAGAGCAACGACCACUCAUUAAGACCAGACAGAAAUCUGUCACUUUCUGGCAGCUGUGGAAACUUCCAAUAAGAAAGUUUGCAUUCUUAGAACAAUGCUGGGUCAUGUGUGAUGUGUCAUUAUAUGAGGAUAUUACAUUUUGACUUAAUUCUGCUCAAUUAAGUGUUUUGUUCGUUGAUCCAAUAUGGCAGCUUUUUAUUGUGCUCCAAGUUAAACCUCAUUGUCCUCAUGAGCACAGCAUCUAACAACUCUCCUUAAAAAAGUCGAUUGACUUUAACUGGACACAAUGGUUUCCAGUGGGAGAUACAUUCAUCACUCAUCCGUGACACUGGAAAAGUCACCUGAGUGAGUGAUAAAACAAUUUUCCAUGGAAAAUCCAGAGCAACUAAACUUUGUUGUUUCUUUGGGCUCAAUUUCAGCUCUAGCAGCAUCUCUCAGAAGAAAACAGUUUUGCAAAUAAUCAGAUAAAAAGAUUGAACUAGGUGGUAUUCUCUGGAGUUUAAGACCAAAACUGAACUCAAACAGUGAAUUGACAUUAGACUGGAAUUCAUAAGAUGAAUAGAAAUACUGCUGAAGCUGAAUGAUUCAUUCAUGUAUAUAUAUGACUUUUUUUUUCCCCCAAUUCACCAGGUCUGUAAAGUUCAGUAUGACUGUGGCACAUGAUACAAAAGAAUAAAUACAGAAGAAUAAAAACUUUGUGAAUAACUUUACUCUUCUUAAAAAUAACUCAUAAAACAAGUAAAAGUACAAAUGUGUACAAGUUAGAGACUUCCUCAGUAAGUUUACACUCUUUUGGAGUGAUUUUAAUUGUGUGUUAAAGAGAAAGAGAUUAGGAGGUAAAGUAGAGGAUGCAGAGUCAAUCAUCACUGAGGUCAUCUCUCCUGCAUGAAGUACAGGCGCUGGUUUUCCAGUGUGUGCGUCUGAUGUCCCAAAGCUGACUCAGAGCUGUAACACCAUCAAUGGCUGCAGUAUGGAACAGAUGUGGGUGUGUCCUCAUCUCCCAGAGGAGUCCAAAUCGUCAUCAAACAGCCCUACAGACACAAAAACAUGAAAAUAUAAACAACCAGACUAUCAGCAGUGAUUUAAG